rnacentral:rRNA from 1 species
GACAGAGGUGCCGAGCGUUAGGCGGAAUCACUGGGCUUAAAGCGUGUGUAGGUGGAUCGGUAAGUACCUUGUGAAAUCCCACAGCUUAACUGUGGAACUGCUUGGUAUACUGCCAGUCUUGAGCCAGCUAGGGGCUACCGGAACAAAUGGUGGAGCGGUGAAAUGCGUAGAUAUCAUUUGGAACGCCAAUGGUAGAAAACGGUAGCUGGGGCUGUGCUGACACUGAGACACGAAAGCCAGGGGAGCAAACGGG